rnacentral:rRNA from 1 species
UACGUAGGAUCCGAGCGUUAUCCGGAGUGACUGGGCGUAAAGAGUUGCGUAGGUGGUCGUAUAAGCGAAUAGUGAAAUCUGGUGGCUCAACCAUACAGGCUAUUAUUCGAACUGUACGACUCGAGAAUGGUAGAGGUUACUGGAAUUUCUAGUGUAGGAGUGAAAUCCGUAGAUAUUAGAAGGAACACCAAUGGCGUAGGCAGGUAACUGGACCAUUUCUGACACUGAGGCACGAAAGCGUGGGGAGCGAACCGG